UACAGAGGUGGCAAGCGUUGUUCGGAAUUACUGGGCGUAAAGGGCGCGUAGGCGGCCCGUCAAGUCCCGUGUGAAAGCCCCCGGCUCAGCCGGGGGAACGGCGCGGGAAACUAGCAGGCUUGAGUUCGGGAGAGGGAAGCGGAAUUCCGGGUGUAGCGGUGAAAUGCGCAGAUAUCCGGAGGAACACCGGUGGCGAAGGCGGCUUCCUGGACCGGACACUGACGCUGGAGGCGCGAAAGCUAGGGGAGCAAACGGG
rnacentral:rRNA from 1 species